UGGUGGAGUGAUUUGUCUGGUUAAUUCCGUUAACGAACGAGACCUCAGCCUGCUAAAUAGUCGAACGAAUACUUACCUAUUCGUCCUUUCGACUUCUUAGAGGGACUGUCUGUAUCUAGCAGAAGGAAGUGUGAGGCAAUAACA
rnacentral:rRNA from 1 species